UGGGGAAUAUUGCGCAAUGGGGGGAACCCUGACGCAGCCAUGCCGCGUGAAUGAAGAAGGCCUUCGGGUUGUAAAGUUCUUUCGGUAUUGAGGAAGGUUGAUGUGUUAAUAGCACAUCAAAUUGACGUUAAAUACAGAAGAAGCACCGGCUAACUCCGUGCCAGCAGCCGCGGUAAUACGGAGGGUGUGAGCGUUAAUCGGAAUAACUGGGCGUAAAGGGCACGCAGGCGGUUAUUUAAGUGAGGUGUGAAAGCCCCGGGCUUAACCUGGGAAUUGCAUUUCAGACUGGGUAACUAGAGUACUUUAGGGAGGGGUAGAAUUCCACGUGUAGCGGUGAAAUGCGUAGAGAUGUGGAGGAAUACCGAAGGCGAAGGCAGCCCCUUGGGAAUGUACUGACGCUCAUGUGCGAAAGCGUGGGGAGCAAACAGGAUUAGAUACCCUGGUAGUCCACGCUGUAAACGCUGUCGAUUUGGGGGUUGGGGUUUAACUCUGGCGCCCGUAGCUAACGUGAUAAAUCGACCGCCUGGGGAGUACGGCCGCAAGGUUA
rnacentral:rRNA from 1 species